rnacentral:tRNA from 1 species
GGGGUUGUUGCUCAGUGAUAGAGUGCUCGUCUCAAAUGUGUGAGAUUCUGGGUUUGAUCCUCAGCACCACA